CCAUUCCCUUUCCUAUGUCCCACCCGGCGAUACUCUCCGAGCUCACCAUAGCAAGGGGCGUGCACGCGUCAUGCCUGCCCGUGUCGAUUCCGCAUCAGCUCCCCGCCCUCGAGGUUUUCGACCAGACGCCUGUGCCGCAACGCGUUUCUACGUCUUGCACGCUCUUGCGAGUACACCGGUGCUCGGCAUAUGAGCCGGCUCGUGAGCAGGAUCGAUGUGCCGACACCGCCGCGGCGGUGGUCGUCGCAGAGUGGAGCUCGUGCCCAGAGCUCGUAGCCCCACCUGCAGGCGGCGAUGAGGCUUCUUUAUUUCUUUACCGCUAUGGCGGAGGCCCAGGUGCCAGCUUCGCAGCACCACCAUUGAACUUCGCGUGCUUUACUCAGUGGGUGGUGCUGAGAGUGCGCUGUGUGUCGCACUCAGCUAGCGCAGUUGAGCUCGAGAGCUACCGCAGCGGUGGAGAUGCCUGUCAAGAGUGGAUGGAGUGGCGUCUUCGACUGGGCACUGUCUUGUACGCCUCCGACUGGCAGUUUCUCGUGUCCCAGCAAGAGCGAAAAGAAGCAACGACUGGCAGCUCCUUCGAUCUCGGCGUCACUAGUGCGAAGAGAGAGCAAACCGUCAGAGCAGACAUGGAUGCGCUCAGCACGUUCUUUCCCGCGCUGCACCACGGUCGCUACUACGCUACAGCGCAGGCCUUUGUGCACCACUGUCGGCACAGCGACGAGCAUCUCGUCUGGUGUGAAAAAGAUCCCCUUUUAUCGGUGGAGUGGGCGGGUGUGGAGGAGGCGCAAUCAGAAGUGCCGGCACGCCAUGACGCGGGCUCCCCCACGGACAAGGAGUGCGGCAACGCUGGAGUGGAAUGUGCCUCGGUCGUUUCGCCGGAGAACGCGGAUAUGUGGCGGUCGCACGUGGGCGGAAGCCGCAAGCGCCGGCGUCGCUGGCUUUCACAGCGCGGACGCGAAUGCCCUAGUGCGCAGGCUCGCCACGACGCAGUUUCGGCAUUUAGGCAUCAUCGAUCCACCCAAGCGACCACUCUUUCUUGCUCGGUUGGCACAACCGCCGCCACCAGCACCGUGGCGCUGGACUCGAUCUGUUGUGCGUACCUUCUUGGGCUGAAGCAUCAAGACUGCCAAUCCGCAAGCGGCGAAGGGUCAGUGUCCACGGCUGCCGAAGCCCCAGCAGGCAUUCAGAAUCAGUGCAGCGAAUCUCCAAAUGUGCCGCAGCCGCCGCUGUACACCUCGAGUAAGCACGUUGAAGAAGUGCUGCAGUCGUCGUCUUACGCGCGCUGGUACCUUGCCCUGCGCCCGGCGUGCCGAUCCGCCUUUUACGUACCACGCAGCGGUCGAGCGGCCGCGGCGGCGACAGUGGAGGUGAGAGAUGCGGAAAAGGCCGCUUCCGAUGAAGUACGCCGCAGGGCUCUCCAGGAAGUAUUGCUGCACGGCAUCGCCGUCUCACUGGCACUUUGGUUUUGCACGGGCAGCAGCAGCACCUGUGACUCUGUCGAGUUGUGCGCGCUGCAGCAACGCGAGCCUUCCCGAACCCCCUUCACAACAUCCACAAGGGACGCCACCGUACUCGUUGCAGCGCUGUUGAGGGAUUGGUGGAAUCAGCUCAGCCAGGAGGCGGCUGAGUUCUUCUCUUUGUCUGCGGCAACCGCACGAGCGGGCCCGCAGCGACGAUGGAACCGUUGCUGUAUCGCCCACCAGGUGUGGGCGAGUCUUCAGAUGUGGGACUGUGCUAGCAGCCUGCGUCCUGUUGCAGCCGUGGCGCCUCCACCGGCGUCGGUGGCGCAUCUCUGUGUGGCUUGCGCAAUCGUCGUGGCACGCGUUCACCGCAGUCAAGAGCGGAUGCUGUGGUGGAAUGUGUGCGCACCAACGGUGAAACCAAGUCAAGCAUGUGCUGACGAGGCGGCCGACUGUAAUGCAUCGGCUGGAGCACGGUCAACGCGAAGCGGCACUAACGGUGGUGCUGCUGACGGCAGUGGCCGAGCGCCCAGCAUAGAUGGAGUCGCGUCAAGCAUGCGGUGCACCUCCGCGUCGUGUCGACUUCCUCGCAUGUCAGUCAAAGAGAGCCGCCGUUGGUGCGACGAUUACCGCGCAUGCAUGGACCUGGUCCUGCAGCUUCUCUUUGCCGAGCAGCAACAGCACUGGGCACCGUGAUGCAGGCAUGCAGAGCGACAGAGAUGAGUGAAGCUGCUCUCACGCACGCGGCGCGCCUCUCGCGCCAUCCUCCUAAAGUGGCAACACGAACUUUCGUUUUUCCCCGUAUUUUAACUGCUAUGUGGUUAGAGCGACGGUGUGCCUCCGGUGCUCCUUACGCACGCAGACACGCCGCACGCGCGCCUUUUCUCUGCUACUUGCCGCGCAAACGCAUGAGCGGACAGCAACAAGAAUAAAGACGCACAAAGCCGCCGCUGCACGAGCGCGUGCUACCCCG
rnacentral:misc_RNA from 1 species